CGAGUGCGUGGCCGACGCGUUUACGUUUUCAUUCACGUGUCGCGUCCUGACCUACCCUACGGCGAUAGCGCCGGCGGAUCUAUCGCGCGGAUCGAUCCAGGUCAAUAACUGCGCUUGCAGAUGUCCUGGCGACUUGAAAUAAAGACUUUCGAAUAGACUAAUUAGACGAAAAAAAUCGCACUUUCGAUGGACGGAAAAUCGAUGUUCCGCGGAAUAAGUAUCGAUACACAACGCGAUCGUGAGAAUAUCGGAACAAUGUGUAAACAAAUAUUACGUCAUCCGGCAUUGUAGUUACUAAAAGAAGUCGUCGCGCAAUUAUUUAACAGCCGAGGGACGACAAUAAUCAACAUUCUCGAUACGUCGCGGGCCUUGAAGGCGGCCAAACUUAUUUUCGCGACUCGCACGCGUUCCCGAAUGUUUCUGUUGUACUUAAAACCGGCAUUUGACACGCAUACCACGGACUACAUGUAUUGGUAUAUUAUUUUUCAUUCUCCUCGAGUGAUAUCAAAAUAUUUCAUCGGUCUCUGAAAUUAAAAUUCUCGUCGGCAUCGUAUUAUAUAUGUCUCGUCGGCAUCGUGUGAAACGUGUAUCUUCAAUCGAAUCGUCCUUGCGCAAGUGUCAGUAUUAGUGUCAGUGCCAUGAUGGAGCAGCCAAGAUACUGAGUUGAGUAGCCAAGACGGAAGGCGAAGGACGGAAGACGUAGGACAUGCGGGCAGUACUACAUCAUAUGUUUUCAGAGAUUCAAUAGAGCACACACAGUCACACGUCUAUAGGGGAUGCGAUGCUUGGUGGAUGCCGCGCCGGAGGUUCGGACCUGUCUGAGUCGGCUCGAAGAAACGAACACUCGACUCUAAGAGGAUGCUGCGCCGGAGGAUCCGGCUCGGGCCUGGCAAAGUCGGCGCGAAGAGACGAAGCAAGUGACCAGCCGAUUAUAAGGGACUGCUGCGCCGGAGGAUCCGGCUCGGGCCGAGCAGGGUUUGCUCGAAGAAACGAAAGCAGAACGUGGCUGCCCUGCUCGGCAGUUCGGAUGCUUUACGAACGGAUGAAGAAAGAGGAAGAAGAAGGUGAUUCCCAAGGAUUUCGAUAUUCUAUGAAAGAGCGAGAAGGGAAACAUCGCGGCUCCUCGGGAACGCGCGAGUCGGAAUAAAAAAAAAAGAAAUUCCAAGUUGGCUUCUCCCCGACCGAACGGAUUACGAAAAAUCUGGGGUGAAGCGGCGUUCUUAAGGGCCACUCGAGAGGAGUCCUUGCCGGUGGCAUACCUUCCUUUCACAUGCUAACUCUUCUCAAUAGUCCGGCGCGGAGAACAUACGUGCAACAAUGGAGUAAACGGAUGGAAAAGAAGAUUCCUGCCAGGAUAACUCUCCGGCGAUCAAUGUUCGCGGGAUUUUCAACAGGACGAAUCGGGAGAGUGACAAGGCACAUUUUGCGAGAAAUACACGGAACCCCGAGCCAUGCUCUACCAGGACGAGGACGCCAGGACGCAGGACGAACGCGGGUAUAAAAUUUCGCCAUAGAGGGAACCACCUACUAAGCGGCAUGCGACGAAGUCAGCGCCAAAUAACAAGGAAGGGAAGCGGUGAAAGCUCGAUUCCUGGUCCUCCUCGACCUCCGACGAUAAAGCAGUUGUUGUCCUAAUCGAACAGAGUUCUUGUGAUGCAAUGUAAAAAACAAAGUAUCUAAUUCUCACGUCACUUCUCUCGAGGCGUUUGUAAUAUCAUUUUCAACGUGUCGAAUCGACUACGUCGAUUUUUCAUCGAUCGCUCGAGAGCUCAACUGAAGAUAGUACGUUCAACAAUGCGAGCAACGAUAAAUAAUAAAAAUCCAACAGCUGGUACGUACAUCUAUAAUUUGCAAUUCAUCUAAUUUUAUUAUAUACAGUUGGUAACUUAUCAAAUAUUAUAAUCUUCCUAUUAAUUUAAAUAACUCUCAACGGAACACAUUUAUAUUCUUAGCACGUCAAAAAAGCAGACAAUUUCGUUCACCUAAUUUGUCAUUGUUUCUUGUUUCUCUCAAUCUCACGACUCAAUUUCUCGAGCAAAUUCUUUUUGGAUGUUUUCUAUAUUGCAGAAAAUUUUGUGUCAAUUUCACAUAUCCCAAUUGUCCACGCUAAUUUUAGCAUUAAUUUAACACAAGACAGAUACGAAUAACACAACUUAUCUGUGUAUACUUUACACAUAAAAUGUCACCAAGAAUUCGUGCAUUUACACAUAAAUUGUUAUUUCGACCCUUAGAAAUAAUAAAUACGAAAUCAACGCAAAAUAAUCGAAAUAACACAACGACGAUAUGUUAAAUCAAUAUAUAUAUUGAUUAUGUAUAGUAACAUUCAUACAAAUUAUAUAACAUACCACGAAGAUGUUAAAACUUUGACACAAGAAUUUCCACACGGAUCAAUUUCAAGACAAAUAUUUCCCGCGUAUGUAUGAAAAUAUUGAUAAAUAUUGAAAUAUUGAAAAUAUUGAUAAAUAUUGAACAAUAUAAUGAUGAUAAAUGUUUUUUUUUUUUAA